rnacentral:rRNA from 1 species
UACGGAGGGUGCAAGCGUUAUCCGGAUUUACUGGGGUUAAAGGGUGCGUAGGUGGGUUGGUAAGUCAGUGGUGAAAUCCCCGAGCUUAACUUGGGAACUGCCAUUGAUACUAUCAGUCUUGAAUACCGUGGAGGUCAGCGGAAUAUGUCAUGUAGCGGUGAAAUGCUUAGAUAUGACAUAGAACACCAAUUGCGAAGGCAGCUGGCUACACGGAUAUUGACACUGAGGCACGAAAGCGUGGGGAUCAAACAGG